CAGGCUGCUCUGGGACGGUUAGCUCCUUCCUUUUCGGAAGGGGGUGGUAUGAUGACGGUUUACGAAGCACUGACAUUUGCGAUUGCAUUUGCCACGCUUAUAGUAUUAGUCAUAACCAAAAAGAAAUAACCGCCCCUGCUUAACGCGGCGGUUAUUCCUUAAUAUAACCAACAAAUUGAGCUAACCGUUUUCCGGUUAGACAGCCUGUAGGGCUGACGUGUUUGCACCACGUCGG
rnacentral:sRNA from 1 species